rnacentral:lncRNA from 1 species
UUAUUAUUAUUAUUAUAUUAUUAUACACAUCUAUAUCUAUAUCUAUUUUUAUACAUUACUAUUCAUAAAAUAUAUGACAAAACAAUUCCUCUUUCAUUCUUGCCUUCUCUUUCCUUCUCACUCUCUAAUAUUUCGCCAUCCCACCUCCCAUCUCAAUCCGAUGUUUUCUCUUCCCACCUACCGACUUUUCAAUCUCAUCUCAACCCGAUGUUUUCUUUUCCUAUCUGUCCACUUUUCAAUUAAUGCGUUCACAUAGUUUAUUAUUAUUUAAACAAAUUAUUUUUACAAAAAAAAUGUAAAAUAAAAUCUCUUUAUAUUUUUUUUUUCUCAUACUAUUUAUAUUUAUUGAUGUUUUAUAAUAAGUCAAAAAAUUUUAAAAUUUUUAUUUUAUCAAUCUCUUGUCUUUUAUAAUAUUAGUCUACCGCAAUGCGCAGUUAACUUCACUAGCUAAUCAAGCAAAAAUAGUGAGGAGUUCUUCACUGAAGGAGCUUCGGAUGAAAAUCGUUGCAUUCACCCGGUGCACCACACACACCUCCUAACCCUGUUUCCGUCAAUACAUACAUAUAUAUAGUUGUUUUUUAUGAUAGCAAUUUCGGAUCGGAAAUCAAAAUUAUUAGAGUUGAUCUAGCAUAUUUUAAAUAUCUAGAAAUAAAUUUUUAUAAUUUUUAAAUAUUAUAUUGAUAUAAUGAUCAGAGGAUAUCAAAAUCGGCAGUUUUUUAAUAAAUCAUAUGAAUCACUUACUUAUUUAACGAUACAGAGUAAUCUAUAUCUUUUGAAUUUUUGACGAAAAACUUUUUAUACUAUUUAGGUGACAUUUGAUAACUUCGAUCAUAAAUUAAAAAAAAUUUAAUCUCUAUUUUAACAAACUUAUUCAUUUUUUAUCAUUCAUUUUUCAAAUUUAUAUAAUUUAAUUGACAAAUAAAUACAUCAUAACUACCUGAACUAUACCCAUUUGAACAUGGUCACUUCGUUUUAGACAAUUUUAAGCUUUCAAAUUUUUAUAAUUUUUUUUGAGAGAUAGAUAGCACGCUACCCGCUUCGUUUAUUUCAUUUAGAAAUAAACUUAGCUAGAAAUGUGAAUCAACUAGGAUUCGAACUUAGGACCUCAGUACCAACCAUCAAGUCCUUUGCCACUUGCUCUAGGGAUGGUCGGUUUCAAAUUUUUAUAAUUAGUCAUUUAGAUUUAUUUUUUAAUCAAUAUAGAGUAGCAAAUAUUUACCAAAUAAUCAAUAAAUAACGAAGACCGCACGCUACCAAUAUAAAAAUACCUUGACGCUAACCUUUAGUAUUAAAGUAAAAGUAACUAGUUUUUAGUAUUUAAUUAUUAAAAUUUACUUGUUACAACUGUGAAUAAUUUUAUUACUAAGGCGGCAUUUGAUUCGACGUAAAAGGAACCGAAAAAUUAUUUUCGCUAUAAAAGAUAUUUUUUCGUUUGCUUGGUUGGACAUAAAAAUAUUUUUUUUAAAAGUAAUUUUACGAAUUUGGAGAAAAAUUAAAGUUUUCGUUUUUCACUAUUUUUUCCUACAGAAAAUUUCCAACUUU